rnacentral:rRNA from 1 species
AUGUACAUGCCUACAAUGUUAAUGCAGUAGAUCCGAUUAAAACUCCACAGUUAAGUAUUCUUAGGCUAGAGUAGUACUGGGAUGGGUGACCUCCAAAGAAGUCCUAGCGUUUUACAUG